rnacentral:lncRNA from 1 species
GCCGGAAAGUCGCCAGAAUCGGCGUUCUUUGGUCGGAGCUUUUUAUAUUUUCGCGUUUGACAGUGAAGGAACAAAGGAACAGAGAAGGAAUAAGAAGAAAAGAGGAAAAGGAAAAGUGAGGGAGAGAGAGAGAAGUGUCGGCUAUGUUUGAGGGAAAGGAGGAAAAGUAUUGGGGAAGUCUCCCAUGGUUUUGUUAUGGUGUAACACAUGCACACCCAAACACAAAUAUAUCUCCACUUAUUUCUAAUGGGCUUAACAAAUACAUAGCCCAAACAAAUAAAUUCAAAACUCACUUGGCCCAUGGCCAAACUAUAUCACAUAUAUAUGAACAUCCAUGGCCCAAUAACAAAAUAAUUAAAUGGAUAUUUAUGGCCCACGUCCAAAAAUAGUCCAAACCCAAAAAUAAAUUACCGGACAUUACA